GGUCUGUUUCCUGCCUCCUCCUCGCACCUAAUAAAAAACCGGAAAAAACCCAAACUUAAAAAACCGAGUUAUCAAAGGAAAAGAACCCGGCUGGCCACCCUGUGCUGUGCCACACAACCCUAAGCCUCCCCGAGCGCCACUCCCGCCGCGCCGCCACAACCUCCACGCCUCCCCUGCGCCGCUCAUCGCCACCCCCGUCGCCGCCAUGGACGAGCGCCUCGCCGCCACCACCGCCCCUCCUCUUCACCACCGCCACAAGUCUUUCGUCGCCGCCCCUGCCUCUUCACUGUCGCCACUCGAUCCCAUCAGAACCCGCCGGCGCGAGCGAACGAUCCAAAAGCCACCCCACCCACCCAUGGCGCGAGGCAAUCGGAGCAGGAGAGGAGGAGGAAGGCGAGGCGAGGCGGAAGGGGGACGAUGGGGAAGACGCCGGUGCGGAUGAAGGUGGUGGUGUACGCGAUUUUGCCGUUCCAGCAGAAGGUGAUGUUGGGGCUGUGGAAGGACAUCAUCACCGAGAUCCACCACAUGGUCUCCGAGAACUGGAUCUCCGCCACGCUCCUCCUCACCCCUGUCAUCGGUACCUACGAGUAAGCCCCGUACCUCCCUCCGUUCGCCCACUCCCCCUACCCCCCGCCGCUCGCCGGCGGUUCCGUCAUGCCGUGCAGAUAUCCGGCUAAAGCCGCGCCUUUGAGCAGCCGUCUUCUUCGCAUGCACCGAGCUCCGACCGAGACCACACCUUCCCGCCGUCGUCCUCUUGUUGUGCCUCCCCCUCCAAACAGCGGGCGGACGACACUCCCCAGCCGCCGCCCUCCUCGACGCGCCCCGUUCCCCUACACAAAAUCGACACCUACCAACAGGACGUGCGACGAUGGAGCAGCAUUUAUCGGUGCCUCUAUAGAUUCUGAAUGCUUCGAGCUGACGCUCUAGAUUCCUCGAGCCUGCGGGUGCGGGCUGGCCGAUUUGAAGGUUAGGGGAGAAGAUGACGGUGGGUGGUCGAUUCGAAGGUCGGGGGAGGAGUUGCCGAGCCCGUCGUCACGUCGCGGGCGUCGCUGUUUGAAGCUCGCGUCCCAUGGGGUGCGCGUCCUUGAAGCAGUUCAGCAAACCCGCACCGGGGUGCGAGGAGCCCGCCGUGCUCGCCUCCAAAACCUCAUGUGAGCACCACCUAACCAAGAACUUUGUAUCUCACGUGUAGAUCUUGAUUAGAAAUUUAGCACUCUUGUUCUGUAACGCUGAGAAAUGCUGCGCAUUGUGGUUGCUUUGCUGGGUGAACGAGGUGAAAGCGUUGUACGAGCUGUAUGAGAAGAUGAGCUUCUCCAUCGUCAAAGACGGGCUCAUUCACAAGGAGUUUCAGCUCGCCUUGUUCAGGAACAGCAAUAAAGCCAAUCUCUUCACAGACAGGGUCUGUGUCUCCUAUCCAUUCUUGCUCUUGCAGGAGAGUUGACCAAUUCGUAUUUCUCUUGAUCAACUCGAUUCAUGUUUUUUUUUGUCAAGUCUUCGAUUUGUUCGAUCUCAAGCGGAAUGGGGUGAUCGAUUUUGAGGAGUAUAUUCCACCCUAAAACACCUGCAUCAGAAAAAAAACAGCAUCUCCGGGAGAUGGUCUUGGCGCUUCUAGACGAGUCCGAUCUCUGUCUCUCAGACAACACACUGUCGAGGCAAUUGUCGAUAAUACAUUCAGUCAAGCAUACUCAAAUGGAGAUGGCAAGAUAGACCCUACGGAAUGGGAGGAAUUUGUGAAGUAGAACCUAGCAGCACUAAGAAACAUGUCACUUCCGUAUUUGCAGUGAGUACUACAUCUCCCGGACAUUACCAUGGCAUUUCCAAGCUUUGUAGUUCAUUCAGAAGCCAAUGACUGAAACAUUUUGGUAGAGCAGCAUGUAAGCCAACACAGUUAGUUCAAUGCGCUCCGUUGUGGGCUAUUGAUUUUUAUCGCACUUUCUCAGCUAUUGCAGUAAUGCACUACGGGAUUAACUAAUCUGACCGAGUUUUAAUGUCUUACUUUUAGCUUCCAGCCAUUGAGGUUCUCUCUGCAUUACCUCAUUCACCAUCUAUAAAUUUGCUGGUGAUGUGCGCUACCAGGGAGCUAAGCUUGCAAACCAAGUGGCUGCUGAGGCCAAGAAGCUUCUAAAGUAUCAUCGCUCACUGGGUGUCUAGGUUGUAAUUGGUGGCACACGAUUACCUCAAGAGCAACGAAGCAUGCAAUCUAACCCAUAUCCGGUUGUACCCAAUACCCAUGAGUUACAGUAGUGCACUGCGUAAUAUCUAGGUGCGACUCAUGCACUAAUAUAUUGUACUGGUCAAACAUAUUCUUGUUGCGACCCCUGGAAGGCUUAAGGAUCAUCUUGAGAACACACCUGGUUUUUCAACCCGAAUUAAAGGUGUGAAGGUUCUUGUUCUUGAUGAAGCUGACCGCCUGUUGGAUAUGUGAUUCAAAAGAGACAUUGAGAAAAUAGUUGUUCUCAUUCCUAAAGAACGUCAGACACUGUUGUUUUCUGCUACUGUUCCAGAAGAGGUCCACCAAAUUUCCCAUGUUGCAAUGAAAAAGGAUCAUGAGUUCAUUAACACUGUUCAAGAAGGCGAUGAGGAGACACAUUCACAGGUAAACCAAGACGUACAUGGUUGCACCUCUAGACCUGCACUUCUCUAUAUUAUACAACGUAUUGAACAAGCAUGUUGCAGAAGAUGCAGACUACAAACUAAGUUAUCUCACCAAGUAAUUGCAUGUUUGUCUUAUGGAAUUCCAGUAUGUCAUUGACAAUACGAUUUUGUAGGUGAUUGUAUUAUGUACUACUGCAAUGGUCACGAAACUCAUCGCUGAGGUGCUUUCCCAGCUAAAACUGAAUAUAAGAGAUUCAUUCCAGAAAGUCGCAAUCUGCGAGAACUAAGGUCUCAAAUGAAUUCAGGAAGUCAAUGGGUCUGAUAUUAGUUCGUUCUGACGUAUCUGCCCGUGGUGUAGAUUAUCCUGACGUCACCCUUGUCAUACAGGUGGACUCCAUGAUUGUUCUCUUUCUCUUGCAAAAAAAGAGAAGAAUUAUGCAUUCAUCGAGAAAUCUGCCUGCUGAUAGAGAACAGUAUAUAUAGACUUGGUAGAACUGGACGGAAAGGCAAGGAAGGGCAAGGCAUCUUACUGUUGGCUCCCUGGGAAAUGCAUUUUCUUAGUACUGUGAUGCACUACGGGAUUAACUAAUCUCCGAAUUUGCUGGAGAAAGUUCAGAAUGUAGCUGCCACUGAAAUGUGGCCUAGCAGGAUGGUGACGAUCAAGAGGACAUGUGAAUGAUGAUAAGCAUCAGAAGAUGACCAUACAAUGAUUUUCUUCUCAUGCGAAGGAAUCGAGCUUGCAUUCCGUCAGAACGAGUGGUUGCAGCAAUUCAUCGAGCACUCAGAUGUAGACCCCAUGGAGCUCAUGCACUCAAGCCCGGAUUGCGAAUUAACCCAAUUUAGGAUGUAGACUAUUGUGCAAAUGCUCAUGCGAAAGCAAUCACUGCAACACAAAUGCCACAAGGCAAUUUAGGAUUUGCAACGGGCACUCCAAUUAUUUUUGUGUAUUGACUGCAGGAAAUGCUAAAAGAUGUGGUUCGGACAAAAUCAUAUCAAAAUGUAAUCACCCAGAAUAACUUUUUUUUCAAGGACGUAAUAGUUCUUCAUGUCAGCGCUGGAGCCGGGAUUCUUUUGCUUUUCUAUGCAUAAGCAAGAGUUAAGCGCGUAGAUGUGUUGUGUGUUGUCUUGUGUAUUCAUAUUAUUUAAUAUUCAAUAUAAAACAAUUUAAUA